GUACGGACAGUAUAGCGGCGAUAACGAACGAUUUGGCGACUCAUAAUACUGCAGCUGUUCGUCCGACAGUUAUUAAUCGUUACCGAUUUCUACAACGGCUCGUUAAAGUGAAUAUUUUACAACACGAUAUCAGAUUCUGUUCGAUUUUCCAACCGGCUGCGCAGCAAGUAGCCAAUAUUCAGUUAAAUUGGUUAAUUUAUGUUUUGAACUGCCGACUCUAUAACGUUGACACAACCAGCAGUAAGCUAAUAAUAAUAUUUUGUUGCAGAUUUAAAUUUUAUCAUGAAGAUGAUUUAUAUUUUUUAUUGUAUCGCGAUUUCGUUUUUAUAUUCGACCGCUGGAAAUGCAUUUAGCUUAUACAACAUCUUAGGUUCACCGUGUCCAGAUGGUUGUACAAAAAAUGCCGACGAAACUUUUUUGGCGUCUUGUGAAUCAGAUCUUUGCCAACAAGAUGGCUGUUACUGUUGUUGUUACACAGUUACUUAUUCAAGCAACUUAAAACGGAAAAAACAUCACAAUUUAUAAAUUAUUAUUAGCUAUACAGAGAAAUUUCGAAUCAUACAAACUACCGUAGUUAUCGGGUUUUUAAAUUCUUUACCGUGUAUAAUAUGUUAGCUUAUUCAUUUAAUAAACUACGACAAUAAAUUAUGUAUUUA